rnacentral:lncRNA from 1 species
GUUUUCUGAUCCAUAGCACAAGGUUACCUUCAGUUAUACUUUUGUCUUGUUUCAAAGGCCUUAAAAGAACUGCUCAAUUACUUAUCUGAAGCACCUGGGUUACCUUACAAUUUGCGUGCUGUUGUUUUAAAAAUAUUUUGUUUUGUAUUUAUUUGUGUGUUUUGUAUUUUUUAUAGUUGCAUUUAGUGUGCCAAAAAAUAUGAAAACUUGACGUGACGUCGCAUACAAUAUGAAAACUUGACGUUCGUGACGACACGUAUGACGUCAUUAAAAAAAUUACAUAUUUUGAGGAAAAAUUUUCUUAAGCAAAAAAAAACCAAAACUGACGUUAUGUAAAAAAAAAAAAAAAAAACUAGAGGCUCUCAAGAGCCUGUAUCGCUCACCUGAUUCUACUUGGGUUUUUGAAAUCAUAUGAAAAAAUAUAAAAUUUGGCUAAAAGUGACAACACAACCUCAUUGAUAAGGAAAGGAACAUGUUUAAUUUCAUUCAAAAGUCCC